rnacentral:rRNA from 1 species
UCAUUAAAGAGUUCUAUAACUCCCAAACCCAUGUGAACAUACCUAACGUUGCCUCGGCAGGUCGCACCUACCUUGUAGCACCCUACCCUGUAGGGCCUACCCGGGAGGUGCGGGUAAGCCUGCCGGCGGCCCACCAAACUCUGUUUGAUAUUGAAUUCUGAACCUAUAACUAAAUAAGUUAAAACUUUCAACAACGGAUCUCUUGGUUCUGGCAUCGAUGAAGAACGCAGCGAAAUGCGAUAAGUAAUGUGAAUUGCAGAAUUCAGUGAAUCAUCGAAUCUUUGAACGCAUAUUGCGCCCAUUAGUAUUCUAGUGGGCAGGACCGUUCGAGCGUCAUUUCAACCCUUAAGCCUUCGUUGCUUAGUGUUGGGAGCCUACGGCAACGUAGCUCCUCAAAGUUAGUGGCGGAGUUGGUUCACACUCUAGACGUAGUAAUUUUUUAUCUCGCCUAUUAGUUGGACUAAUCCCCUGCCGUAAAACCCCCAAUUUAUCAAGGUUGACCUCGAAUCGGUUCAGACAAACUCGCUAAAUUGAAGCAUCUUAGUCAGCGAAGGAAAAGAAACCAACAGGGAUUGC